AUUGAACGCUGGCGGCAGGCUUAACACAUGCAAGUCGAACGAGUGGCGGACGGGUGAGUAAUGCUUGGGAAUCUCGCUUAUGGAGGGGGAUAACUACGGGAAACUGUAGAUAAUACCGAGUCCCGUAGGAUGAGCCAAUGUGGGAUUAGGUAGUUGGUGAGGUAAAGGCUCACCAAGACGACGAUCUCCAGCUGGUAUGAGAGGAUGACCCGCCACCCGGGGACGGAGACACGGCCCCGACUCCUACGUGAGGCAGCAGUUGAGAAUAUUGCGCAAUGGGGGCAACCUGACGCAGCCAUGCCGCGUGAAUGAAGAAUGCCUUCGGGUUGUAAAGUUCUUUCGGUAUCGAAGCGGUAACUACAGAAUAAGCACCGGCUAACUCCGUGCCAGCAGCCGCGGUAAUAC
rnacentral:rRNA from 1 species